GAUGAAGAACGCAGCGAAAUGCGAUAAGUAAUGUGAAUUGCAGAAUUCAGUGAAUCAUCGAAUCUUUGAACGCACCUUGCACCCUUUGGCAUUCUGAAGGGUAUGCUCGUUUGAGUGUCAUUGUACUCUCACACUCCCGAUCUUUGCAUUGGGAGCAGUGGACUUGGGUUUGCUGCUUCACCGUCGCUUACCUCAAAUAGGUUAGUGCAACUCUUGGUUGGACAUAGUACGGCGUGAUAAGUGUUCUUCGCCGGUGCCUCGCAAAGAGGGUGGCCGAUCGGGAUGUUGUGCUCCAAACCUCUUCGGACAAUCUCUGACGACUUGACCUCAAAUCGAGUAAGACUACCCGCUGAACUUAAGCAUAUCAAUAAGCGGAGGA
rnacentral:misc_RNA from 1 species